rnacentral:sRNA from 1 species
GCCAGGCGUUGUGGCGGGCGCCUGUGGUCCCAGCUACUUGGGAGGCGGAGGCAGGAGACUCGCUUGAGCCCAGGAGUUGGAGGUUGCUGUGAGCUGUAAUGCCACGGCACUCUGCCCAGGGUGACAGCUUGAGGCUCUGUCUCAAAAAAGAGACAGAAUCACGUUCUGUUGCCUGAGCUAGAGUGCAGUGGUGGCAUCAUAGUUCACUGCAACCUCAUACACGCUGGGCUCACGAUUCUCCUGCC